GUUUCCUUGUACGGAUAAAACAUUCCUUCUCAUCUAUCUUAGUCUUCUUGAGAGUUCUAGGGCACUAAAACAAAGCAAAAGCUUGAUUCUUGAUUCUUGAAGCUAAUUGGGGAUUUUAGGAAAAUCUUAAGCAUCAAAGAAGGAAGUAAAGGACGCUUAAUCAUUACUACACUUGGGAAAUUCAGAUUUAGGAAGAGGAUUUUUCGAGCGCUUGACGGAGAUCGCACUUGGGCCGGUACAUCUAGCUUGUUGGAAUUCAGGUCUUGGCUCACGAGUGUUUUGUGGUGCAUGUAAGGGCAAAGGAAAACUGGAUUAGUCAUGAGUUGGAGAGCUCUAGGAGGGCGCUAAAGAUAGAAAUUUGACUCGCGGGGAUAGAUACCCACGGGGACCUGCUCCUAAUAGGGCAGGAAUUCCCUGCCUUAGAGGGUAAUGGGGUGGGGAUUCCCUGCCUUGGUGGGUAAUGGGCCAGGGGUGGGUAAUGAUUUAUGGGAAAA